GUUAACGUACAUUUCUGGCAAUCAUUACAUUUUACGGCAAAAUCCAUGGGCAAGUGCACAGUCACACUUUUUAAUGUGACUAUCAGCUUAUUCCCAUUUCCUUACAAUCCUUCUAUGGUUCCAGAAAGCCCCAGCAGCAGAAAACCCAACCUUUAAAGUUUCUGUCAUGUGAUUUACAACCCUACAGCCACUGCUGGUUUAAAUUUCACAUCUAUUCUGGAAGUGAAAGUUGAGCUGAUUUUUUUUUUUUUUCCUCUUUUAUGAUAAAAGAGCAGCCACUGAAUUAAUAACAGGUCAGUACGAGAUAUAUUAGAGUGUGGUUUGGCAUUUCUGCUGAGAAUCUCCUGUCAUCUCCACCACCACCCACAGAUGCCAUAGCAACCACGCUGCGGAGGGGCUCGAGCGCACACACUCGAACGUGCCGCUACAUGAAUGCGCUUCUUGUUUUGCCAUUGUGAUGCUGAAUUCAUUUCAGCUGCAGUUGCUCCUCCCUGGAAAGCUUCGUUUUUCCCACUGAAGACAAAAUAAACAAACAGCUCCAAUUUUGCCCUUUUGGAAUGCAGCAGUUGUGUAGGAUUCAGCUGAGCGGGCAAUUAAGGAAAAAGUCCUCAAAUUAUAUCUUGCACUUGCACAGAAGUUUUUAGCAGUGCCAUAAGAAAGUUGUCUUUACAGUCAGCACAAGGUUCAACUAGAAGAAGCAGCAAUUUCUUGAGAAGUUACCACAGAACAAUACUUGUUUAUUCACCAGUGUUUGAAUAUUUAAGUAGUUCAUGCGAUUAUUCUUAAGUAUAACAGCCUGAGUUUCAGCAGAGCUGCUAAAGCUUGUGCAAGUCAGUCAUUUGCUGCAAUUAAAAAUAUGCAGCUUGCAAAAUACAGGAACACUGUUUUUAGCACAUUCUUAUAAUGUGUUAAAGACACUUUUAAAGUGUGCUAAAGCAUCCAGCUUGUUCUUCAGCACGUACUUUCUUCACAGUUUGUUCUCCUAUGAAAAGCUACCUCCAACGGUGUGGGCUUUUCUCAGCUACUGUUGUAAUCCCACUCUGUUACACCCACUUCCAACUUCUCCAUAACCCUGUAUAUCACUUCGAGGCAUUAAUUAAUUAUGCCAAUCCUUGUAGGGUUCAUUAGUCAAAUAUUUCACUUAAACACUGCCUUACAUAUUGUCUGAGGACAGCCCUAAAUCCAAGAACAAAUUGUUCCUGUUACGUAUUCACCGUUUUUGUUAUUUUCCCCUCAUUGUGCUUCCAGCCAUCUCCCAGUAGAGUUGAGAAGAAAACCCCCACACAAAGGGAGGGACUGCAGUGCAGUGCAGGCAGGAUCUGCAGCCAGAUGGAGUCAUCCUGAUGUGAACCACCCGUCUGACCUUUGUGUAACUGUCGUGUUUGGCUACUGGCCUUUGAAGUGAUGGGAUAAGAGGUCUCCAAAAGGGGCAGUGUUCUGAAGUGUUGCUGCUCUCCAGCCUUUUCCCUUUUCUCGUGCUCAAGAUGCUUCUCGCUUGAGAGAUCAGAUGAGAGCUUUGGGAGUGCUUGUCCUGAGACCAGCCUGUGCCACCAGAUUCACAUCUCUCAAGCAAUGCAACAGUUCUUUGGCCCCAGGAUCAGAACAGAGACAAAAACCA